GGGGGCGACAUGGCUUCGACUGGAUCAAGAAGGUUUAGGUUGCAUCGUCGGACUGAGCAAUUCCGUUACACGGCUCACACUUGCUUAAACGCAAACAAUACUAAUUACCGUCCUGCUUACGCUGUAGCGUAAGUUUAACUAAACUUUAGGACUGCGCUACCUUCCUAUGCUAUAACUGGAAGGGCUUGGCGUAUAACCCCUGUGAUAGCUAUAUUCUUGGAAUGUCUCGGACUUGAAUGAAUUUAGAGAAUUGAAUGCCGUAACUUUGCUCGUUGUGUGAAGGCGUUUGAAACACAAACAACGAAACUAAGCAUGUAGACGCCUUUACAAUCUUGGUUUAGGACUCCGGUUCAAUCCCGGACGCCUCCACCA
rnacentral:tmRNA from 1 species